rnacentral:rRNA from 1 species
CAGUCGCCGCGGUAAUACGUAGGUGGCAAGCGUUGUCCGGAAUUAUUGGGCGUAAAGGGCUCGCAGGCGGUUUCUUAAGUCUGAUGUGAAAGCCCCCGGCUCAACCGGGGAGGGCCAUUGGAAACUGGGAAACUUGAGUGCAGAAGAGGAGAGUGGAAUUCCACGUGUAGCGGUGAAAUACGUAGAGAUGUGGAGGAACACCAGUGGCGAAGGCGACUCUCUGGUCUGUAACUGACGCUGAGGAGCGAAAGCGUGGGGAGCGAACAGGAUUAGAUACCCGCGUAGUCCCUGUCUCUUAUAA